CGCCGGAAUUAGAGGGGCCUUCGGGAGCCCCCAAACCUACAGGCAGGGUGGCAGAAGAGAGCGCGUAGAGACUGCAGGAGCAGCGCACUUCCACAGGCAGCCUGGAACAAGAAUUAGUCUCGCAAAAUACCGUGUGGCAAAAAGGUUCUGUUUUCCACUCUCCUGCUACCUGUAUUUCCCCUAGCUGGUAGCUAAGAAACCAUACAUUCUACUCACCAUCUGUCUGGGCCUUCCUUCCAUAGGACCAAAGUGAACAGCCCUUGCACUCUCCCAGCAUUUUGCAGUACAUUUGCCAUAUUGCACAGCUUCAAUUUGACCAAAGCACCAAGCUGUCAGGAUUGUUCUGUACGUUGCUUACCAGUGCAGAUGGCAGCAGAAGCAAGCACUUUGGCAAGAUUCAGUUCUCUUGGCAGCAGGUGCUCUCCAACCCUGCCUUCAUAAAAGAGGACAGUGCACAGGCAACAGUGCAUCUUCUGAUCAGAGGCAGAACUUGGAAACAAAUCUUUCAAAGACUCAUUCAUUAAGCAAAAUUAUGGAAGACUAAAAGAAUUGUGAAGUAUCACAUCCAACUGGACUGUAUGUUUAGCCAAGCAUGCAAAACCCCCAGAAUUAGAAAGAUUGAUAUUUACUGCCUACAAGAAACUGAAAUGUUGAGAAAAAGCAAAAGUGGGUAUCCCUUGCAGGAUGAGACAGCACAGGACAGCAUAACAUGGAACCGCUUGCAUGUGGCAUUGGUUAAGUGUUUCAGCAUUACCCUAAUUCUGUCCCAUAGCUAAGAAAAAAUAUACAAAAUUAACCUCACUUUCCCUAUUUUAACUGUAGCUCAGACCAGAAUUUUUGGGGUUGUUACUGUCUUAAGGGGGCACUGAAGGAACAGAUGCAUGCUGCAUCUCCUCCAAGCCCUGUACAAACAGAUCCGUUCUGGUAAAAAAGGUAAAGGCUACACUUGCCUGUAAGUACUCAUUCUCCCUCAAAAAUGCAGUUCUGGUCUCCAAGUUAGACUUAAAACAAUAUUGAAUCCACUUAAGCUAUUUCAUUUCUCCCUGAUCCUAGGGAUAUCCCCUUCUCACGGAUAAAGAUCCCAGCAUGUGAAUGAGCCCUGAAUGGCUUAGCUCCUCCUCAUUCCAAGAUCAUCUGUAUUCCUGAAGAAAAGUAAUAAAGUUUAAAAUAUUCAUCUAAAAGUAAGAGACAAUAAGGAAAAAUAAAAAAACUAAUAAACAGAAGGAAAAAAACAAAACCAAAAAUAACUAAAAAAAACACAGCAAAAAGCAAACCAAACCCAAGACAAACAGAAUCUUAACCAUAUUCUUUAAUGUUGUACAAAACAAAAAAUUGGUGAGUAUUACAAUGAUAAGGGAUUAUAACACUGGUAGCCCAUUGCCAUCUCUCUAGCUAAACAGUUGAGAUUCACUUCUCUGUUCAUACCCUAGAAUGUUUAGUGGCCUUCAGGAACAGAAAGACUUAAAAAAAUCCUUGUGUCACACAUAUUCGUUUCUCUACAGUUCAAAGCUGUGCUCACAGAGACGGCUUCUUCUACUGGAGUCUUCAGGUAUAUAGGAAUUCAGUUGUAAAUAAAGUUGAACCUAAAAUUAAAA